rnacentral:hammerhead_ribozyme from 1 species
AUCCAGAUGACGAGCCCCAAACAGGACGAAAUGCGCGUUAACCUGGAU